AGGUUUUGAAUUUCAAAUCUCCACUCUCUCCCUCAAUUCAUUACUCCUUCAUCUUUCACGCCUCUCUCAUCUCUCUUCUUUUCUUUCUAUUGUAUUGAACACCAAUUUAAAGAAAUCUACAGACAUUCCAUUUCAAAAUUAGGAGAAAUUUUUAAGCAUAGUGUACCCUAAUUUCAUUGCAAAGUGAAAAUAGAGAGAGAAUGAAACAUCAUCUUACCACCCUAUGUUGAGGAAUUAAGAAACAGACAAUGUGGCUUCCGAAGAGCAAAGGUGGUGUCCAAGACAGAGACCCGUUGCCGCGGAAGGGAGCCUCUUUGGUCGGGGUGGCGAUAGACAAAGACAAAUACAGCCCGCACGCUCUCAAAUGGUCCAUUGAACAUCUUCUUAUCUGUGGCCAAACCGUUGUCCUCAUUCAUUUCAUUCGAAAAAACCUCUUCUGCAGGCAAUCCAUAGGGUGGUAAGAUGAUGUUUCAUACACUUAAAUUCUUCGACAGACGUUCCCUCUCUCACUCUCAAUUUCGAUUUCAAAUUUCAAAGUUCUUUAUGUUCUCUCUCAAAUUCCGGCAGCGGCUGUAAUGGUGUUUUGGGCGGUAUUCUGGUGGUUGAAGAAAUCAGGCUUUUUUAAGGUGUUAUGAAGCUUGAAGCUACAAUGUUAAAGACUGCCAGAAGUGAUCAUGCAUGUACUCCCAAACAAUUGCACAUCAAUGAAAAAGUUGCUAAUCUUGAAAAGACACAUGGUGGAUGAUGUCCCCAUUGAGGUUAUUGGUGAUGUUCUUAGAGUUUGACAAAUCCUCACCAACUACCACUUGAAAAGGACCAAUAGAAAGAUCCAAAUCAUUUCUCUUGAAGAAGUGGGUCAAACCCACAACGUUCUUUUUAUAUUUACUUUGUGUUUAAUUAAUUGGC
rnacentral:lncRNA from 1 species